CCCCUCUCUCUCUCUCUCUCUCUCUCUCUUCACCAAGCUCAAAGAAAAAGAAAAAAAGAGAGAAAAGUUACUAAUUACUCUGAGCACUGAAUGGGACACUUAUGAGUAAUAUGAUUGGAGGCCAGCAGUUCAUCCCCUAGUCGGGGAUGCUAAUAUGCUUUCCUAUCAGUCAUGCUUGAAACUCUGAUUUCCUGUUAAUGCUUAGCAUCAGGAAAUUGGAUUGUUUAACUACAUCUAAUUUGUUUGCUGAAACUGCUUACGUACUUUGUUAAUUUCUCUCUUCACCUGUAAUAGUCAAAAUGUCAUGCCUAAACAGAGUAACAACAACAACAACAACAACCCAGUAUAUAAUCCCACUAGUGCUUUCACAAUAUCAUUUUAGCAUGUUGUGUCUUGUCCCGAUCCUACUUGAUAUUUUGAAUGCUUUGGUAUCAUCUGGAGAUUUUCAUAAUCAAAUCUGUUUGAGAAGCCAAUCCUCUGUAAUUACAGAGGCGCGGGAAUUAAGUGACUGUCAUUCAGUUCCUAUCUCUAGAAUCUGGAUGCAUGCUAUGAUUACCUCUUAAUUCUACAAAAUAUCGUUGUUUGAUUCCUUAUUCUGCCUUUCUACCUUCACAAGGUAGGGAUAAGGUCUAUGUACACAUUACCCUUCUCAGACCCCUCUUGUCGGAUUACACUGAGUUUGUUGUUGAUUAUUCCUUAUUCUACACGGUAAGAUAUGAAUGACGAGAGUCAGUUUUAUAAGGAAGAGAAACAAAACAAAGUAUGAUAGUAAAAAAGGUUAUAGUGUGCAAUUCUCUGUGUCUGCCUCAUAGAAUGCUAUUAUUGACACCAAGCAGAAGAAAUUACCUGUUUAGACUACUCUGUAGUGCUCUAUGAUUCUACUUAUUUCAAAGUUUCUUCUUAUCUUUUUUUCCAUUCUACAACUAUGUGAUUAUGUAUGUGAUGCUGUUAGUUGUCUAUAUCAUCGGACAUGCUAUUUUUUUGUCAUGGUGUUGAACAACAGAUCAGUAACAACCUCUCUACCUUCUCAUAACAGGGGUAAGGCUGCGUACACCCUAUAUUCAUUUGCAUCGCAUGACUACUCCCCGUGGUAAAUCGAAAGGCAUAUAAUUGCCUGAUAUUGACUUUUUCGGAGAACAUAGUCCGUGAAAAUUAAAAUAUAAACGUAAUUCUGGUUGUCAAGGUGUUUGUUGCAGCAUAGAGAAUAUGAUAUAGAAGUUGAUUUGAUCCAUAUAAUUUGUUUGAUUGAUUGGAAGUUUGGAACUGCUU